rnacentral:rRNA from 1 species
CAAGAUGAGAUUUCCCAUAGCGUAAGCUAGUAAGAUCCCUGAAAGAUGAUCAGGUUGAUAGGUUCGAGGUGGAAGCGAUGGUGACAUGUGGAGCUGACGAAUACUAAUAGAUCGAGGACUUAACCAU